AGUAGGGCUCCAUGUUGAGGAGCUGGUCGAAGCUGACGUGAACUCCGAUCUUCUCCCGGUGGUUCCGCCCGGACCACCUGACCGUCAGACACAGUGGAGCCUGAGGACCUGAGGCAGUUUAUAGACCAUCAGCUGUUUCUUUGCUUCGGUCAAGAUGACGGUUUUGGAGCAUGUGCGUCGUCGCGCUGCUGCAGGAGGAAGGGAUAAGCGCCAGAGUACUUCGAGGUGCAGCCGGCUCCAUCCUUCCCUCUGCCUGCUUUUCCCUCCU